CACGUAGGGCGCAAGCGUUGUCCGGAAUUAUUGGGCGUAAAGAGCUCGUAGGCGGUCUGUUGCGUCCGCUGUGAAAACUCGGGGCUUAACCCCGAGCCUGCAGUGGAUACGGGCAGACUAGAGGUAGGUAGGGGAGAAUGGAAUUCCCGGUGUAGCGGUGAAAUGCGCAGAUAUCGGGAGGAACACCGGUGGCGAAGGCGGAUCUCUGGGCCUUACCUGACGCUCAGGCACGAAAGCUAGGGGAGCGAACAGG
rnacentral:rRNA from 1 species